rnacentral:tRNA from 1 species
GAGGCUGUGGCUCAGUGGUAGAGCGCUUGCCUAGCAUGUGCAAGGCCCUGGGUUUGAUCCUCAGCACCACA